GACGAACGCUGGCGGCGUGCCUAAUACUUGCAAGUAGAACGCUGAAGAGAGGAGCUUGCUCUUCUUGGAUGAGUUGCGAACGGGUGAGUAACGCGUAGGUAACCUGCCUUGUAGCGGGGGAUAACUAUUGGAAACGAUAGCUAAUACCGCAUAACAAUGGAUGACACAUGUCAUUUAUUUGAAAGGGGCAAUUGCUCCACUACAAGAUGGACCUGCGUUGUAUUAGCUAGUAGGUGAGGUAAUGGCUCACCUAGGCGACGAUACAUAGCCGACCUGAGAGGGUGGUCGGCCACACUGGGACUGAGACACGGCCCAGACUCCUACGGGAGGCAGCAGUAGGGAAUCUUCGGCAAUGGGGGCAACCCUGACCGAGCAACGCCGCGUGAGUGAAGAAGGUUUUCGGAUCGUAAAGCUCUGUUGUAAGUCAAGAACGGGUGUGAGAGUGGAAAGUUCACACUGUGACGGUAGCUUACCAGAAAGGGACGGCUAACUACGUG
rnacentral:rRNA from 1 species